rnacentral:rRNA from 1 species
GAUCAUGGCUCAGAUUGAACGCUGGCGGCAGGCCUAACACAUGCAAGUCGAACGGUAACAGGAAGAAGCUUGCUUCUUUGCUGACGAGUGGCGGACGGGUGAUAAUGUCUGGGGAAACUGCCUGAUGGGAGGGGGGAUAACUACUGGGAAACGGUGCUAAUCCGCAUAACGUCGCAAGACCAAAGGAGGGGGGACCUUCGGGCCUCUUGCCCAUCGGGAUGUCGCCCAGAUGGGAUUAGCUAGGUAGGG